rnacentral:misc_RNA from 1 species
CGGCGCCCGACCUCCCAACCCUUUGAUUUGAUCAAGACCUCUUCUGCCUCGGGGGCGACCCGGUUCCCGCCCAGCACGCGGGGGUGACCCGGUCCUCCCGGUGGUCCAACACACAAACCCUGCAUCAAUUGUCGUCGGACGUUUGAAGCGAAUUCAAUCAAAACUUUCAACAACGGAUCUCUUGGUUCUGGCAUCGAUGAAGAACGCAGCGAAAUGCGAUAAGUAAUGUGAAUUGCAGAAUUCAGUGAAUCAUCGAAUCUUUGAACGCACAUUGCGCCCUUUGGCAUUCCGAAGGGCAUGCCUGUUCGAGCGUCAUUACACCAAUCAAGCCUGGCUUGGUAUUGGGCGACGGGGCCGUCACACGCCCCGCGCCCCAAUGACCCCCCGGCGAGACGGACCGAAUCUCAGCGUUGUGCAAACGAGUCGCUGGCGAGACGGGACGGCCGUGCCGUUAAACCCAUCCUUUCAAGGUUGACCUCGGAUCAGGUAGGGAUACCCGCUGAACUUAAGCAUAUC